rnacentral:rRNA from 1 species
GACGAACGCUGGCGGCGUGCUUAACACAUGCAAGUCGAACGGAAAGGCCCUGCUUUUGUGGGGUGCUCGAGUGGCGAACGGGUGAGUAACACGUGAGUAACCUGCCCUUGACUUUGGGAUAACUUCAGGAAACUGGGGCUAAUACCGGAUAGGAGCUCCUGCUGCAUGGUGGGGGUUGGAAAGUUUCGGCGGUUGGGGAUGGACUCGCGGCUUAUCAGCUUGUUGGUGGGGUAGUGGCUUACCAAGGCUUUGACGGGUAGCCGGCCUGAGAGGGUGACCGGGCACAAUGGGACUGAGGGACGGCCCAGACUCCUACGGGAGGCAACAGGGGGAAAUAUUGCACAAUGGGCGGAAGCCUGAUACAGCAACGCCGCGUGCGGGAUGACGGCCUGCGGGUUGUAAACCGCUUUCGCCUGUGACGAAGCGUGAGUGACGGUAAUGGGUAAAGAAGCACCGGCUAACUACGUG